rnacentral:rRNA from 1 species
UACGAAGGGUGCAAGCGUUACUCGGAAUUACUGGGCGUAAAGCGUGCGUAGGUGGUGAGUUAAGUCUGUCGUGAAGGCCCCGGGCUCAACCUGGGAAUGGCGAUGGAUACUGGCUCGCUAGAGUGCGGUAGAGGAGAGUGGAAUUCCCGGUGUAGCAGUGAAAUGCGUAGAGAUCGGGAGGAACACCAGUGGCGAAGGCGGCUUCCUGGACCGGUUCUGACACUGAGGAGCGAAAGCGUGGGGAGCGAUCCGG